rnacentral:rRNA from 1 species
CACGUAGGGGGCGAGCGUUGUCCGGAAUCAUUGGGCGUAAAGAGCUCGUAGGCGGCUCGGUAAGUCGGGUGUGAAACCCCCAGGCUCAACCUGGGGACGCCACCCGAUACUGCCGUGGCUAGAGUCCAGUAGGGGAGUGUGGAAUUCCCGGUGUAGCGGUGAAAUGCGCAGAUAUCGGGAGGAACACCAGCGGCGAAGGCGGCACUCUGGGCUGGAACUGACGCUGAGGAGCGAAAGCGUGGGUAGCAAACCGG